UUCGCAAUGCCCGAAAGGGUGACGAAGCGACGCCGCGUGCGGGGAGAAGGCCUUCGGGUUGUAAACCGCUGUCGGGAGUUAAGAAAUGUAAGGAUGUUAAUAGCAUCUUUGCUUGACUAAGGCUCCGGAGGAAGCCACGGCUAACUCUGUGCCAGCAGCCGCGGUAAUACAGAGGCGGCAAGCGUUGUUCGGAAUUAUUGGGCGUAAAGAGCACGUAGGCGGCUAUGUAAGUCGGUUGUGAAAGCCUUCCGCUCAACGGGAGAACAGCAUCCGAUACUGCAUGGCUUGAGUGCGGGAGGGGAGAGUGGAACUUCUGGUGGAGCGGUGAAAUGCGUAGAUAUCAGAAGGAACGCCGGCGGCGAAAGCGGCUCUCUGGCCCAUAACUGACGCUGAGUGUGCGAAAGCUAGGGGAGCAAACGGGAUUAGAUACCCCGGUAGUCCUAGCCGUAAACGAUGGGCACUAAGUAGAGGGGUUUU
rnacentral:rRNA from 1 species